rnacentral:rRNA from 1 species
AACGAACGCUGGCGGCAGGCUUAACACAUGCAAGUCGAGCGCCCCGCAAGGGGAGCGGCCGACGGGUGAGUAACGCGUGGGAACGUACCUUUUGGUUCGGAACAACUCCGGGAAACUGGAGCUAAUACCGGAUAAGCCCUAACGGGGAAAGAUUUAUCGCCGAAAGAUCGGCCCGCGUCUGAUUAGCUAGUUGGUGAGGUAACGGCUCACCAAGGCGACGAUCAGUAGCUGGUCUGAGAGGAUGAGCAGCCACACUGGGACUGAGACACGGCCCAGACUCCUACGGGAGGCAGCAGUGGGGAAUAUUGGACAAUGGGCGCAAGCCUGAUCCAGCCAUGCCGCGUGAGUGAUGAAGGCCUUAGGGUUGUAAAGCUCUUUUGUCCGGGAAGAUAAUGACUGUACCGGAAGAAUAAGCCCCGGCUAACUUCGUG